rnacentral:tRNA from 1 species
GUUUAAGUAGCUUAAUUAAAGCAUGACAUUGAAGUUGUUGGGAUGAGGAUUUUCCUCCUUGAAC